GACGAACGCUGGCGGCGUGCCUAAUACAUGCAAGUCGAGCGAAUUUACGAGAGCUUGCUCUCGUAAGUUAGCGGCGGACGGGUGAGUAACACGUGGGCAACCUGCCUAUAAGACUGGGAUAACUUCGGGAAACCGGAGCUAAUACCGGAUAAUUCACAUCUACUCAUGUAGAUGUGCUGAAAGACGGUUUACGCUGUCACUUAUAGAUGGGGCCCGCGGCGCAUUAGCUAGUUGGUGAGGUAACGGCUCACCAAGGCCACGAUGCGUAGCCGACCUGAGAGGUGAUCGGCACACUGGGACUGAGACACGGCCCAGACUCCUACGGGAGCAGCAGUAGGGAAUCUU
rnacentral:rRNA from 1 species